rnacentral:rRNA from 1 species
AGUGAACGCUGGCGGUAGGCCUAACACAUGCAAGUCGAACGGCAGCACAGGAGAGCUUGCUCUCUGGGUGGCGAGUGGCGGACGGGUGAGGAAUACAUCGGAAUCUACUUUUUCGUGGGGGAUAUCGUAGGGAAACUUACGCUAAUACCGCAUACGACCUACGGGUGAAAGCAGGGGACCUUCGGGCCUUGCGCGAUUGAAUGAGCCGAUGUCGGAUUAGCUAGUUGGCGGGGUAAAGGCCCACCAAGGCGACGAUCCGUAGCUGGUCUGCGAGGAUGAUCAGCCACACUGGAACUGAGACACGGUCCAGACUCCUACGGGAGGCAGCAGUGGGGAAUAUUGGACAAUGGGCGCAAGCCUGAUCCAGCCAUACCGCGUGGGUGAAGAAGGCCUUCGGGUUGUAAAGCCCUUUUGUUGGGAAAGAAAUCCAGCUGGUUAAUACCCGGUUGGGAUGACGGUACCCAAAGAAUAAGCACCGGCUAACUUCGUGCCAGCCGCCGCCGUAA